ACCUGACUGCUAUCGGAUUGAUACUAAGCCAUGCGAGUCAUUGUAGCAAUACAAGGCAUACGGCUCAGUAACGCGUAGUCAACCUAACCUAUGGACGGGAAUAACCUCGGGAAACUGAGAAUAAUGCCCGAUAGAACAUUAUGCCUGGAAUGGUUUAUGUUCCAAAUGAUUUAUCGCCAUAGGAUGGGACUGCGGCCUAUCAGUUUGUUGGUGAGGUAAUGGCCCACCAAGACUAUUACAGGUACGGGCUCUGAGAGGAGUAGCCCGGAGAUGGGUACUGAGACACGGACCCAGGCCCUAUGGGGCGCAGCAGGCGAGAAAACUUUGCAAUGUGCGAAAGCACGACAAGGUUAAUCCGAGUGAUUUCUGCUAAAGAGAUCUUUUGUUAGUUCUAGAAACACUAACGAAUAAGGGGUGGGCAAGUUCUGGUGUCAGCCGCCGCGGUAAAACCAGCACCUCAAGUGGUCAGGAUGAUUAUUGGGCCUAAAGCAUCCGUAGCCGGCUCUGUAAGUUUUCGGUUAAAUCUGUACGCUCAACGUACAGGCUGCCGGGAAUACUGCAGAACUAGGGAGUGGGAGAGGUAGACGGUACUCGGUAGGAAGUGGUAAAAUGCCUUGAUCUAUCGAUGACCACCUGUGGCGAAGGCGGUCUACUAGAACACGUCCGACGGUGAGGGAUGAAAGCUGGGGGAGCAAACCGGAUUAGAUACCCGGGUAGUCCCAGCUGUAAACUAUGCAAACUCAGUGAUGCAUUGGCUUGUGGCCAAUGCAGUGCUGCAGGGAAGCCGUUAAGUUUGCCGCCUGGGAAGUACGUACGCAAGUAUGAAACUUAAAGGAAUUGGCGGGGGAGCACCACAAGGGGUGAAGCCUGCGGUUC
rnacentral:rRNA from 1 species